rnacentral:rRNA from 1 species
AGCGAACGCUGGCGGCAGGCUUAACACAUGCAAGUCGAGCGGGCCCUUCGGGGUCAGCGGCAGACGGGUGAGUAACACGUGGGAACGUACCCUUUGGUUCGGAAUAACGCUGGGAAACUAGCGCUAAUACCGGAUACGCCCUUUUGGGGAAAGGCUUGCUGCCGAAGGAUCGGCCCGCGUCUGAUUAGCUAGUUGGUGGGGUAAUGGCCUACCAAGGCGACGAUCAGUAGCUGGUCUGAGAGGAUGAUCAGCCACACUGGGACUGAGACACGGCCCAGACUCCUACGGGAGGCAGCAGUGGGGAAUAUUGGACAAUGGGCGCAAGCCUGAUCCAGCCAGGCCGCGUGAGUGAUGAAGGCCUUAGGGUUGUAAAGCGCUUUUGUCCGGGACGAUAAUGACGGUACCGGAAGAAUAAGCCCCGGCUAACUUCGU